CACUGCGUUGCACACUUUUGACCAAAAUUAUAAUACCCUCUGCAAGGGUAUAAAAAUACACUGAAAAUAAAUUUUUUUUGUAAGAAAAAAAAUUAGCGUAUUUUAUCUUAUUUACGUGAAGCUAGCUCUUGAUAUGACGCAACUUUUGAUACAUCGCUUAUAUCUGGCAAAUUCCGUUAACUCAAGAUAUAGUCCUAUAAGUGCAGCUACCAAUUUUGUGCAGCCACCUGUGAAGCUUCCCAGCAGUACUGAAAUUCCUGGCCCCGACUUUUCCGGCCCGAAUGUCAAAUUUCGAUCGAAAAACAAAAACAAUUCAAUUAGGUUUGCUCUUCGGACGUCAAAACACAGUAGGCGAACUAAUUCUGCCGGCCCUCUGCUGCUGCUAGAGUUCGAAAUUAUGCAUAUUCGAUAUUAGUUAUUAAUCACUAAUAUUUUCUAGUCAUUGUAAAUAUUUGGCCCGGAAAACUUUCACCCCAUGGUUCAAUGAUUAAGGUAUCUGCCUGUUAAUCGUAAGGUCGUGGGUUCGAUUUCAAGCGGGAAAGACUUUAUUAUGAGUUGAUUUUUGUUUACUUUAAUUUUUUUUUUUAAUAUCGCAGUCUCAAAAUAAACUGUUAUAUUCAAUAUUUUUUUUAAAUGGGGAUUCUUAAUAAUUGAGAUUGUUUUAAACAUGCAAAUUUGUAGAGGUAUAUUAUAGUCAGUCACAAAGUACGCGCGAUUCCUUGAUAGCUUAGAGGCGUGCAUGUCGGUCCAGUAUACAAAAGCACUAAGGUUCGAAUCCCAGGGUGAGUAAUUAUUAAAUAUAGUUUUCAAUAUUAAUAAUGUUAUGUUAUUUAACAUAUUAAUUUAGUUUAAAACAUAAAUUAACAGCAAUUUUUAAGGAAUGCAUAAAAAAUAUUGAUUAUCAGAUUAGAAGAAUGUAAGAGGAAAUUUUUUUCUUUAAUUUUGGGUUAUGAAUGCGACCUGAUUUAGCCACCUUUUUCACCGCGGAAUCAUGCUUUCUUUUCCGGCCUGAUUCCGCUCUGAAAUUCAGGUCUGAAUCAGGGGCGAUUUCGAGACAAUUUUCACGCCGGAAUCCGGAUUCGAAAUCCGGGCGGAUUCAGGGCUGAUUCAUGCCUGAAAUCGAAUUCCGGGCCGAGAGGACAUUUUCAAAAAUUUCAGUACAAAAUUCCGGGCCGCUUGUUCUAGCUUUCCGGUUGGAUUCCGGGGUGAUCCGGGCGGAUCCAGGGUGAAUCCAGGGUGAUUCCGGGGCGAUUGGUACUGCUGGG